CGUUAUAACCGGCGAUACCCGAAUGGGGAAACCCAGUGUGAUUCGUCACACUAUCAUUAACUGAAUCCAUAGGUUAAUGAGGCGAACCGGGGGAACUGAAACAUCUAAGUACCCCGAGGAAAAGAAAUCAACCGAGAUUCCCCCAGUAGCGGCGAGCGAACGGGGAGGAGCCCAGAGCCUGAAUCAGCAUGUGUGUUAGUGGAAGCGUCUGGAAAGGCGCGCGAUACAGGGUGACAGCCCCGUACACAAAAGCGCAUGUGCUGUGAGCUCGAUGAGUAGGGCGGGACACGUGGUAUCCUGUCUGAAUAUGGGGGGACCAUCCUCCAAGGCUAAAUACUCCUGACUGACCGAUAGUGAACCAGUACCGUGAGGGAAAGGCGAAAAGAACCCCGGCGAGGGGAGUGAAAAAGAACCUGAAACCGUGUACGUACAAGCAGUGGGAGCACCCUUCGGGGUGUGACUGCGUACCUUUUGUAUAAUGGGUCAGCGACUUAUAUUCUGUAGCAAGGUUAACCGUAUAGGGGAGCCGGAGGGAAACCGAGUCUUAACCGGGCGUUAAGUUGCAGGGUAUAGACCCGAAACCCGGUGAUCUAGCCAUGGGCAGGUUGAAGGUUGGGUAACACUAACUGGAGGACCGAACCGACUAAUGUUGAAAAAUUAGCGGAUGACCUGUGGCUGGGGGUGAAAGGCCAAUCAAACCGGGAGAUAGCUGGUUCUCCCCGAAAGCUAUUUAGGUAGCGCCUCGUGAAUUCAUCUCCGGGGGUAGAGCACUGUUUCGGCUAGGGGGCCAUCCCGGCUUACCAACCCGAUGCAAACUGCGAAUACCGGAGAAUGUUAUCACGGGAGACACACGGCGGGUGCUAACGUCCGUCGUGAAGAGGGAAACAACCCAGACCGCCAGCUAAGGUCCCAAAGUCAUGGUUAAGUGGGAAACGAUGUGGGAAGGCCCAGACAGCCAGGAUGUUGGCUUAGAAGCAGCCAUCAUUUAAAGAAAGCGUAAUAGCUCACUGGUCGAGUCGGCCUGCGCGGAAGAUGUAACGGGGCUAAACCAUGCACCGAAGCUGCGGCAGCGAACGUAUCACCCAAGACAACUUUACGGAGUUGACGAUUGACGGAGCGAAGCGACGUCAAAGCGUUCAUUAAAGUCGAGUUGGCUUAGGGAUACGUUCGUUGGGUAGGGGAGCGUUCUGUAAGCCUGUGAAGGUGUGUCGUGAGGCAUGCUGGAGGUAUCAGAAGUGCGAAUGCUGACAUAAGUAACGAUAAAGCGGGUGAAAAGCCCGCUCGCCGGAAGACCAAGGGUUCCUGUCCAACGUUAAUCGGGGCAGGGUGAGUCGACCCCUAAGGCGAGGCCGAAAGGCGUAGUCGAUGGGAAACGGGUUAAUAUUCCCGUACUUGGUGUUACUGCGAAGGGGGGACGGAGAAGGCUAUGUUGGCCGGGCGACGGUUGUCCCGGUUUAAGCGUGUAGGUGUGUGUUCCAGGUAAAUCCGGUUCACUUUAACACUGAGGCGUGACGACGAGGCACUACGGUGCUGAAGCAACAAAUGCCCUGCUUCCAGGAAAAGCCUCUAAGCAUCAGGUAACAUCAAAUCGUACCCCAAACCGACACAGGUGGUCAGGUAGAGAAUACCAAGGCGCUUGAGAGAACUCGGGUGAAGGAACUAGGCAAAAUGGUGCCGUAACUUCGGGAGAAGGCACGCUGACACGUAGGUGAAGUGAUUUACUCAUGGAGCUGAAGUCAGUCGAAGAUACCAGCUGGCUGCAACUGUUUAUUAAAAACACAGCACUGUGCAAACACGAAAGUGGACGUAUACGGUGUGACGCCUGCCCGGUGCCGGAAGGUUAAUUGAUGGGGUCAGCGCAAGCGAAGCUCCUGAUCGAAGCCCCGGUAAACGGCGGCCGUAACUAUAACGGUCCUAAGGUAGCGAAAUUCCUUGUCGGGUAAGUUCCGACCUGCACGAAUGGCGUAAUGAUGGCCAGGCUGUCUCCACCCGAGACUCAGUGAAAUUGAACUCGCUGUGAAGAUGCAGUGUACCCGCGGCAAGACGGAAAGACCCCGUGAACCUUUACUAUAGCUUGACACUGAACAUUGAGCCUUGAUGUGUAGGAUAGGUGGGAGGCUUUGAAGUGUGGACGCCAGUCUGCAUGGAGCCGACCUUGAAAUACCACCCUUUAAUGUUUGAUGUUCUAACGUGGACCCGUAAUCCGGGUUGCGGACAGUGUCUGGUGGGUAGUUUGACUGGGGCGGUCUCCUCCUAAAGAGUAACGGAGGAGCACGAAGGUUGGCUAAUCCUGGUCGGACAUCAGGAGGUUAGUGCAAUGGCAUAAGCCAGCUUGACUGCGAGCGUGACGGCGCGAGCAGGUGCGAAAGCAGGUCAUAGUGAUCCGGUGGUUCUGAAUGGAAGGGCCAUCGCUCAACGGAUAAAAGGUACUCCGGGGAUAACAGGCUGAUACCGCCCAAGAGUUCAUAUCGACGGCGGUGUUUGGCACCUCGAUGUCGGCUCAUCACAUCCUGGGGCUGAAGUAGGUCCCAAGGGUAUGGCUGUUCGCCAUUUAAAGUGGUACGCGAGCUGGGUUUAGAACGUCGUGAGACAGUUCGGUCCCUAUCUGCCGUGGGCGCUGGAGAACUGAGGGGGGCUGCUCCUAGUACGAGAGGACCGGAGUGGACGCAUCACUGGUGUUCGGGUUGUCAUGCCAAUGGCACUGCCCGGUAGCUAAAUGCGGAAGAGAUAAGUGCUGAAAGCAUCUAAGCACGAAACUUGCCCCGAGAUGAGUUCUCCCUGAGACUUAGAGUCUCCUGAAGGAACGUUGAAGACGACGACGUUGAUAGGCCGGGUGUGUAAGCGCAGCGAUGCGUUGAGCUAACCGGUACUAAUGAACCGUGAGGCUUAACCUUACA
rnacentral:rRNA from 1 species